rnacentral:rRNA from 1 species
UCGAGAAUCUUCGGCAAUGGGCGCAAGCCUGACCGAGCGACGCCGCGUGGAGGAUGAAGGCCUUCGGGUUGUAAACUCCUGUCGAGGGGGAGGAAGGCGCAAGCUUGACCUAUCCCUGGAGGAAGCACGGGCUAAGUUCGUGCCAGCAGCCGCGGUAAGACGAACCGUGCGAACGUUAUUCGGAAUCACUGGGCUUAAAGCGCGUGUAGGCGGAUGGGGACGUCGGUUGCUGAAAUCCCCCGGCUCAACCGGGGAACGGGCGCCGAAACGCCCCGUCUGGAGGGACGUAGGGGGACCUGGAACUUCCGGUGGAGCGGUGAAAUGCGUUGAGAUCGGAAGGAACGCCCGUGGCGAAAGCGAGGUCCUGGACGUUUUCUGACGCUGAGACGCGAAAGCUAGGGUAGCGAACGGGAUUAGAUACCCCCGUAGUCC